UGAUGACGAGACGCUAAGGCGUUGAAGCAGUGUAUGUCAGACUUCCCAGAAAAGCUCGCAAUGUCACAAAUAAAAGAUGCCUGUACCAUAACCGACACAGGUGGGUAGGUAGAGUAUACUAAGGGGCGCGAGAUAACUCUCUCUAAGGAACUCGGCAAAAUGACUCCGUAACUUCGGGAGAAGGAGUGCCUUAUUUAUAAGGUUGCAAUAACAAGAUCCAAGCAACUGUUUAUCAAAAACACAGGUCUCCGCUAAGUCGUAAGACGAUGUAUGGGGGCUGACGCCUGCCCAGUGCCAGAAGGUUAAAGAAGUUGGUUAGUGUAUGCGAAGCUGAUGACUGAAGCCCUGGUGAACGGCGGCCGUAACAAUAACGGUCCUAAGGUAGCGAAAUUCCUUGUCGGGUAAGUUCCGACCCGCACGAAAGGCGUAAUGAUUUGGAUACUGUCUCGGAGAGAGGCUCGGUGAAAUAGACUUGUCUGUGAAGAUGCGGACUACCUGCACCAGGACAGAAAGACCCUAUGAAGCUUUACUGUAACUUGAAAUUGGAAUUGGACUUUGCUUGCGCAGUAUAGGUGGGAAGCGUUGAAAAUAUUCUUGCGGGAGUAUUGGAGCUAUCAGUGAGAUACCACUCUUGUAAUGUUAGAUUUCUAACUUUGAACCAUAAUCUGGUCAAAGAACAGUUUCAGGUGGGCAGUUUGACUGGGGCGGUCGCCUCCCAAAUGGUAACGGAGGCGUACAAAGGUUUCCUCUGAACGGAUAGAAAUCGUAUCUAGAGUGUAAAGGCAUAAGGAAGCUUGACUGUGAGACCUACAAGUCGAGCAGGGACGAAAGUCGGUCUUAGUGAUCUGACGGUACUGAGUGGAAAGGCCGUCACUCAACGGAUAAAAGUUACUCUAAGGAUAACAGGCUGAUCUCCCCCAAGAGUUCACAUCGACGGGGAGGUUUGGCACCUCGAUGUCGGCUCAUCGCAUCCUGGGGCGGUAGUACGUCCCAAGGGUUGGGCUGUUCGCCCAUGAAAGCGGUACGCGAGCUGGGUUCAGAACGUCGUGAGACAGUUCGGUCCAUAUCCGGUGUAGGCGCUAGAAUAUUGAGAGGAGCCUUCUUUAGUACGAGAGGACCGAGAAGGACACACCGCUGGUGUACCAGUUAUCGUGCCAACGGUAAACGCUGGGUAGCUAUGUGUGGAGUGGAUAACCGCUGAAAGCAUCUAAGUGGGAAGCCCACCUCGAGAUGAGUAUUCCC
rnacentral:rRNA from 1 species